rnacentral:rRNA from 1 species
CAAACCUCUUUCGGCGGGAACCAAGUGAGAGUGACGGUACCUGCAGAAGAAGCACCGGCUAACUACGUGCCAGCAGCCGCGGUAAUACGUAGGGCGCAAGCGUUGUCCGGAAUUAUUGGGCGUAAAGAGCUCGUAGGCGGUUUGUCGCGUCUGCUGUGAAAACUUGGGGCUCAACCCCGAGCCUGCAGUGGGUACGGGCAGACUAGAGUGCGGUAGGGGAGACUGGAAUUCCUGGUGUAGCGGUGGAAUGCGCAGAUAUCAGGAGGAACACCGAUGGCGAAGGCAGGUCUCUGGGCCGUAACUGACGCUGAGGAGCGAAAGCGUGGGAGC